rnacentral:rRNA from 1 species
UACGUAGGGGGCAAGCGUUGUCCGGAAUGACUGGGCGUAAAGGGUGUGUAGGCGGUUUGUCAAGUUAGGAGUGAAAUACCCGGGCUUAACUCGGGUGCUGCUUUUAAGACUGGCAGACUAGAGUGCAGGAGAGGAAAGCGGAAUUCCCGGUGUAGUGGUGAAAUGCGUAGAUAUCGGGAGGAACACCAGAGGCGAAGGCGGCUUUCUGGCCUGUAACUGACGCUGAGGCGCGAAGGCUGGGGUAGCGAACAGG